rnacentral:lncRNA from 13 species
GUUGAUGCCAUCCGACAUGUUGUAUUAGUGCACACUGCCCUGGUGAUACAAGAAGAAAAAUCACAUAUGCCUGGAAGAAGCAGAGUUAGUGAACAAAGAAAAUGUGCUAUUUAUACACUAUAUAUGGAAGAGGCCCAUGACCCAUUGCUGGCUGCAAGGAUGAGCCCAUGAUUCUGGACUGGGAGAAGUGAUGCCUGCAGCUGUGACAGCCAUCGUGAGAUGAUGAAGCAACACAGUGAAGGAUAAAAGGAAGCCAGCCCGCCAGAACUGUGGGCCUGGAGGAUGGAGAGCCUGGCUACCUCUGGGGCUCCUGUUCAAGCUCAGUUGAACUACAGACAAGCUUCUUUAACAUUUUGCUAAUAAAUGAUGUGUUUCUACCA